rnacentral:rRNA from 1 species
GAUGAACGCUGGCGGCGUGCCUAACACAUGCAAGUCGAACGGAGAUUACGGACGGAUGUUUUCGGAUGGAAGCCUGUAAUUCUUAGUGGCGGACGGGUGAGUAACGCGUGGGCAACCUGCCCUAUCCAGGGGGAUAGCAGCUGGAAACGGCUGGUAAGACCGCAUAAGUCGGUUAAAUCGCAUGAUUUGAUCGGGAAAUGAGCAAUCAGGUAUAGGAUGGGCCCGCGUCCGAUUAGCCAGGUGGCAGGGUAAAAGCCUACCAAAGCGACGAUCGGUAGCCGGACUGAGAGGUCGGCAGGCCACAUUGGGACUGAGACACGGACCAAACUCCUACGGGAGGGAGCAGUGGGGGAUAUUGCACAAUGGAGGAAACUCUGAUGAAGCGACGCCGCGUGAGUGAAGAAGUAUUUCGGUAUGUAAAGCUCUAUCAGCAGGGAAGAUGAUGACGGUACCUGACUAAGAAGCCCCGGCUAACUACGUG